rnacentral:lncRNA from 1 species
GGAAGGAAGGAAGGAAGGACGGAAGGAAGGAUGGAAGGAAGGAAGGAAGAAAAAGACAAUUCUAUUAUACUUUCUGAAAGGACUCAUUAGACUACAAGAGGAAGUGUGCAGAGGAUAAUUGCAUAAGAACAAGCCAAAUACUGCAAUAUUACUGUAGGUCAGAAGAAGAAGGCUAUGAAAUGUGGGCACCUACACACAUCACGGCUACUAAGGAGAAAGGAAAGAUAUUCAUCCAGUGAAAGCAAGUGAGCAGAACAGCAUCUUCUCAGCCCUUCCUAACCAAGAUGGAGGUCUAAGAAGUCCUGGGUGUUCUAGGCAACCCAAGGGAUCCCUUCUGAACUCCCCUUUUCCAAGACGAUAGCCAUUCUGCAAAGGGUAAGAUGUAUACUUGACACAAGGACUGUCUCCGAACCAGCCCACAAAAGAG